rnacentral:rRNA from 1 species
UAAACUAGGAUUAGAUACCCUAUUAUAUGAAAUGUAAAUUUAAGAUACUAAAUGAGUAUUAGUUAUGUUCUUGAAAAUUAAAAGAUUUGGCGGUAUUUUAGUCUUUUCAGAGGAAUCUGUUCUUUAAUUGAUAGUCCACGAUUCGAUGUACUUUAUUUAUUAGUUUACAUAUCGUCGUAGUUUGAAUAUUUUAGUAGAAUUAUUAAUAUUCAAUAUAUUUUAUUAAAAAAUAAAUCAGAUCAAGGUGUAGUUUAUAUUAAAGUAGUAAUGGAUUACAAUAAAUUUAUUUAAGGAUAGUUUUUAUUAUAAAAAUUUGAAAAUGGAUUUGAUAGUAAUUUUAUAGGGUUUUUUAAAAUGAUUAUAGCUCUAAAAUAUGUACACAUCGCCCGUCGCUCUUAA